rnacentral:rRNA from 1 species
GACGAACGCUGGCGGCGUGCCUAAUACAUGCAUGUAGAACGCUGACUACUUUAGCUUGCUAGAGUAGAAGGAGUUGCGAACGGGUGAGUAACGCGUAGGUAACCUGCCUACUAGCGGGGGAUAACUAUUGGAAACGAUAGCUAAUACCGCAUAACAGUGUUUAACACAUGUUAGAUGCUUGAAAGAUGCAAUUGCAUCACUAGUAGAUGGACCUGCGUUGUAUUAGCUAGUUGGUGGGGUAACGGCCAACCAAGGCGACGAUACAUAGCCGACCUGAGAGGGUGAGCAGCCACACUGGGACUGAGACACGGCCCAGACUCCUACGGGAGGCAGCAGUAGGGAAUCUUCGGCAAUGGGGGCAACCCUGACCGAGCAACGCCGCGUGAGUGAAGAAGGUUUUCGGAUCGUAAAGCUCUGUUGUAAGAGAAGAACGUGUGUGAGAGUGGAAAGUUCACACAGUGACGGUAACUUACCAGAAAGGGACGGCUAACUACGUGCCAGCAGCCGCCGUAA